rnacentral:rRNA from 1 species
GAUGAACGCUGGCGGCGUGCUUAACACAUGCAAGUCGAACGGGAAAUACUUUAUUGAAACUUUGGUGGAUUUAAUUUAUUUCUAGUGGCGGACGGGUGAGUAACGCGUGGGUAACCUGCCUUAUACUGGGGGAUAACAGCCAGAAAUGACUGCUAAUACCGCAUAAGCGCACAGAACCGCAUGGUUCCGUGUGAAAAACUCCGGUGGUAUAAGAUGGACCCGCGUUGGAUUAGCUAGUUGGCAGGGCAGCGGCCUACCAAGGCGACGAUCCAUAGCCGGCCUGAGAGGGUGAACGGCCACAUUGGGACUGAGACACGGCCCAGACUCCUACGGGAGGCAGCAGUGGGGAAUAUUGCACAAUGGGGGAAACCCUGAUGCAGCGACGCCGCGUGAAGGAAGAAGUAUCUCGGUAUGUAAACUUCUAUCAGCAGGGAAGAUAAUGACGGUAC